rnacentral:rRNA from 1 species
AACGAACGCUGGCGGCAUGCCUAACACAUGCAAGUCGAACGAGACCUUCGGGUCUAGUGGCGCACGGGUGCGUAACGCGUGGGAACCUGCCCUUAGGUUCGGAAUAACUCCCCGAAAGGGGUGCUAAUACCGGAUAAUGUCUUCGGACCAAAGAUUUAUCGCCUUUGGAUGGGCCCGCGUUGGAUUAGCUAGUUGGUAGGGUAAAAGCCUACCAAGGCGACGAUCCAUAGCUGGUCUGAGAGGAUGAUCAGCCACACUGGGACUGAGGCACGGCCCAGACUCCUACGGGAGGCAGCAGUGGGGAAUAUUGGACACUGGGCGAAAGCCUGAUCCAGCAAUGCCGCGUGAGUGAUGAAGGCCUUAGGGUUGUAAAGCUCUUUUACCCGGGAUGAUAAUGACAGUACCGGGAGAAUAAGCUCCGGCUAACUCCGUG